GCCACCUCAGCCAGCAGCCGAUUCCACCUUGCAGUCUGUGUGGAAUUCACCACAGGACUUCUACUGAAUAUUUUCCUGUGUACGUUUUGGGCCACAGACAUUAAGACUGAGGUCUAGAAAGCUGUCCUUUCCUCUGUGAGCUCCUUUUGGACAUGGCACCUUUUCUCCAAGUCCAGAGUACCCUGGGAAUUUCUGCACUAGAAACAACUUCUGAAGAAGGAAUCAAGGAAAACUGCAGUUCUGAGCACACUGUGCCCAAAGCCCUAUCUACUGCAGAGAGAACAUCCUGGCUUGUGACUGCAGCCCUCAGGCAACAGGAUCUACAGCAGUAUCUGCUAAAGUAGUAUUUGAGACUCAGCUAAUUAUCCUUUCUUUAAGUGAAUAGAAAAUAGUUUAAUAUGCUUUUGUAAAGUUCACUCCAUCAAAUCAGUCAGUCAGGUACACUGCUUUCACUGCAGGUAAAACCUAUGCCUGAGUAGUCGUUUCUACUGAAAAAAAUAAAGCCAUCUCUCAGUGUAACAUUUUUCAUCUGGCAAACACAGCCACUUCUUCCAAUGACAGGAGGAGCAAAAUGUGCAGGAAACUGCUCAUCAUCCACCAUCUUCAUUUGGCACACACUCACUUGGCUUCUUCCCACCCACCUUCAGGUCCAAAGGAUGCUGGUGAGCAUUCAAAAUUCUCACUCCUUUUCCCUACUGAUAACAAGAGAAAACUAAAGAGAUACCUCACAUUUUCCUCUCCUCAGACCAUUUUCUGUCCAAAGGAGCAGAGGAUUUCCCAGUACUAGUGGCUACAGCUCACCAAGUCAGCCAUCCUAUGGGCUGCUAUCCUCAGCCUUUCCAACAUUUCAUAAAGUGUGCUCACUUAUAGCGGGGGGUUAGGCAGUGAAAAUCAUGCUGCUUCACAAGGAUACAGAGCAUAGGCAGUUGUUGGGUUAGCCACCACUUAGGAGUAU